UUACCCUCCCACCCUGAACACAACCGAGCGCCUUUGAUUUUGGAAGCUAAGCAGGGUCGGGCUGGGCUGGUACUUAGGGUGGGAGACCGUCUGGGAAUAACGGGUCUCCAGGUAAA
rnacentral:rRNA from 1 species